rnacentral:misc_RNA from 1 species
GAAUAUAUACAAAAAAAAAUACUCAACACAACAAUAUUAGAUAACUCCAUUCUACAUAGCACAAUAUCUUAAAUAUACUGACCAUACAUAUAUCAACACUCUUACUUAAAUGCCCUAAACAUACUUCUAAGUAAGCACCACAAACUUAUCUAAACAUCACAAACUUAUCUACACUCACUUGUAUGUUUUAUACUUCACCAUUCAUAUAUAUAUAUAUAUAUAC